GCUAUUGCCUUGAUGUAUGUCAAAAUUGAUGAUCAGAAACUUGCCAUUGGAACCCUCUCUGUUGACAAGAACCCACACAUACAAUUUGAUCUGGUUUUCGAUAAAGAGUUUGAGCUGUCGCACACAUCAAAAACUACCAUCGUCUUCUUCACUGGCUACAAGGUUGAGCAACCAUUCAAGGAAGAUGGAAUGGAUCUUGAUUCUGAAGAUGAAGACGAGGAGCUGAAUGUUCCAGUAGUCAAGGAAAAUGGCAAAGCUAGUGGGAAGAUACAGAAAAGUCAAGAAAAGGCAGUUCCUUGAUUUUUUCAAAAAGAA